rnacentral:rRNA from 1 species
GAUGAACGCUAGCGGCGGGCUUAAUACAUGCAAGUCGAGGGGUGGUAGCAAUACUACACCGGCGCACGGGUGCGUAACGCGUAUGCAAUCUACCUUUAUCUGGGGGAUAGCCCGGGGAAACCCGGAUUAAUACCGCAUAACAAAUUUCUUGGCAUCAAGAGAUUUUAAAAGAUUUAUCGGAUAGAGAUGAGCAUGCGUAAGAUUAGAUAGUUGGCGAGGUAACGGCUCACCAAGUCUACGAUCUUUAGGGGCUCUGAGAGGAGAAUCCCCCACACUGGCACUGAGAUACGGGCCAGACUCCUACGGGAGGCAGCAGUAGGGAAUAUUGGGCAAUGGGCGCAAGCCUGACCCAGCCACGCCGCGUGCAGGAAGAAGGCCCUCUGGGUUGUAAACUGCUUUUGACUGGGAAGAAAAGACUCCUUGCGAGGAGAGUUGGCGGUACCAGCAGAAUAAGCCACGGCUAACUACGUGCCAGCCGCCGCCGUAACAC